rnacentral:rRNA from 1 species
CACCGCGGUUAUACGAGAGGCCCAAGUUAAUAGAUUGCGGCAUAAAGUGUGGUUAAGGGCCCUAUCUUACUAAAGCCGAAGACUUUCAGAGCUGUUAUACGCGAAUGAGAGAUUGAAGCCCAUACACGAAAGUAGCUUUAACCCCCCUACCCUGACACCACGAAAGCUACGAAA